rnacentral:rRNA from 1 species
UACGUAGGGUGCGAGCGUUAAUCGGAAUUACUGGGCGUAAAGCGUGCGCAGGCGGUGAGCUGUGUCCGAUGUGAAAGCCCCGGGCUUAACCUGGGAAUGGCAUUGGAAACUGGCUCGCUGGAGUGUGGCAGAGGGGGUGGAAUUCCGCGUGUAGCAGUGAAAUGCGUAGAGAUGCGGAGGAACACCGAUGGCGAAGGCAGCCCCUGGGCUAACACUGACGCUCAGGCACGAAAGCGUGGGGAGCAAACAGG